AAUCAUUUGGGUAAACAGCCAAGCUUCCAGGCUUAACGCCUGGCUCCCUCCCUACUCCCCCCUUGCACGUCCCCCCCCCGCCUCCCUUACCCCCCCUUCAACCCCUACAUCCACCCACACUUUGCUCCGGAGCCUCUUCCAGAGAAAGCUCCACGCUUUGAUUCGGGAGCUGAGUGCUCCCCAGGUUAAAAGUGCUGCAGACCUGAAUGUCCCAUAACUAUGCCCCGGGAGGCAGAAGCGGACUGGAGGGCAGUAGGAACGGCCUGGGCCACGCUCAGCAUGUGGACUGCUUGGGAGUGAUUUAAAGCAAGAAGUAAGGGAGCUGGAAAGCAGGAAGCAAUGGGAAGGAAACAAACAGAAGUUCAAAGAGGUGCAUUUGAAAUUCAUCAGGAAAGCUCGCGAUCCCGGCACUGACCAAAACUUUUACUGUGUUCUCCCUUUCCCUACCGGCAUAUUUUCCAAUGGUGUGCUUUAUUUUUGUUUGGUAUCAAAUGAUGAGAAACAAGGCCUCAUGGUGCAAGACAUUUGGCUGCUUUGAAAUCCUCAGCGUUGCUUUUGGUUCACCCCUUUAUACGUGGCUUUAAAGAAUGAAGGAAAAAAAAGGAAAUGUUUAAGAAAAUUCAUUUGCUUAAGUCCUGAAAGAAAGCUUGUAUUGUAGAACAAUGUAAGUGACAAUAUUACAACUGAAUUCUCUUCUAUCUGCUUGCUGGUUUUCAUGAUUGCAUUCUGUCUCCU
rnacentral:lncRNA from 1 species